rnacentral:rRNA from 1 species
GUGUCAGCAGCCGCGGUAAUACGUAGGGGGCAAGCGUUGUCCGGAAUUACUGGGCGUAAAGCGCGUGUAGGCGGGACGGUAAGUCGGACGUGAAAGGCUCGGGCUCAACCCGAGAAGGCCGUUCGAAACUGCCGUUCUUGAGGGUCGAAGAGGAGAGUGGAAUUCCUGGUGUAGCGGUGAAAUGCGUAGAGAUCAGGAGGAACACCCGUGGCGAAGGCGGCUCUCUGGUCGGCCUCUGACGCUGAGACGCGAAAGCGUGGGGAGCGAACGGGAUUAGAUACCCCCGUAGUCC